GAUGAACGCUGGCGGCGUGCCUAAUACAUGCAAGUCGAGCGAACAGACGAGGAGCUUGCUCCUCUGACGUUAGCGGCGGACGGGUGAGUAACACGUGGAUAACCUACCUAUAAGACUGGGAUAACUUCGGGAAACCGGAGCUAAUACCGGAUAAUAUAUUGAACCGCAUGGUUCAAUAGUGAAAGACGGUUUUGCUGUCACUUAUAGAUGGAUCCGCGCCGCAUUAGCUAGUUGGUAAGGUAACGGCUUACCAAGGCAACGAUGCGUAGCCGACCUGAGAGGGGGAUCGGCCACACUGGAACUGAGACAAGGUACAGACUCCUACGGGAGGCAGCAGUAGGGAAUCUUCCGCAAUGGGCGAAAGCCUGACGGAGCAACGCCGCGUGAGUGAUGAAGGUCUUCGGAUCGUAAAACUCUGUUAUUAGGGAAGAACAAAUGUGUAAGUAACUAUGCACGUCUUGACGGUACCUAAUCAGAAAGCCACGGCUAACUACGUG
rnacentral:rRNA from 1 species